rnacentral:rRNA from 1 species
UACGUAGGGGGCGAGCGUUGUCCGGAUUUAUUGGGCGUAAAGAGCGUGUAGGCGGCCAGGUAGGUCUGCUGUGAAAACUCGAGGCUCAACCUCGAGACGUCGGCGGAAACCAUCUGGCUAGAGUCCGGAAGAGGAGAGUGGAAUUCCUGGUGUAGCGGUGAAAUGCGCAGAUAUCAGGAGGAACACCUAAGGCGAAGGCAGCUCGCUGGAACGGUACUGACGCUGAGGCGCGAAAGCGUGGGGAGCGAACAGG